AACCUAGGGCGGGCGCGCACCCACCAGAACGGUCACAGUCAGAGAUCUGCGCAUGCGCGGGACGCUGGAGGCUCGUGGAAAGCGUUCUGGAUCCUACUUCCGCGUCGCUUCCUCUGGGCAGGUUCUCACUCUGUCCCCAGGCUGGAGUGCAGUGGCAUGCUCAUGGCUCACUGCAGCCUUGACCUCAUCAGGCUUGGGGGAUCCUCUCACCUCAGCCUCCCUAGUAGCUGAGACCACAGGUGGUGUCCCUGUAACUCUGGGACUCUGAAGCGGUGGCUUAUGGAUUUGUUUUGGCUGGCAAGGACCAAAGUUACAGAGAAGGGACUUAGUUACAAGCCCAGACCUGGCCGUGCGUUCGCCCUCUGUGACUGGAGCCCAGGGUUGGAGCCCAGAGGAUGGCGUGAGAAAUGAAAAGCACCAGCACUCGUCUCAUUAAAGCCAAACAGAUGAAAGUAGCCUCACGUCUUCCUUGGCUGACACCUACCCACCCUGACUGCAGUUAUUUCCCAGAGGAGUCCCCGACUUCCCAGGCUCUGAAAUACAACUCGUGUGCAUGGAGGUGAACUCAUCUAUCUUCUGGGUUCCUGGCAACCUGGAAGUGGGGAAGUGGAUCCCCCUUCCAUUACCCAGGCCAGCUAUAGCCUUGUAUCUGCCCAUCCUUCUGAACUGCUGCUGGACCUGAGGCUGAGGACGACAGGGCCCCAUUCAGGUAAGUGACUGCUUGUGUAUCUACCUCCACUUGUUCCAGCAAGGCCUGUCUCCUCCAGAGCCCCCCACUUUCCAGGGUUCCCUGGCUUUGGGCUGGAAAGCGACCACAGGCCUUGAAGGACUACGGGUGGAAGCAGGACAAGGUGCUGGCAAGGGGUGUCCAAGAACAAUUCCCAGAAACACGGGGCAAGAAUGUAGGACGAUGCAUCAUCCCUCCUCUCCCCCUGCUUCUCCAGAGUUGAGACUAUCAGCAGAGUCCAGACACCAUGGAGAGGAAAGUGCUGGGUGUGUGAACGUAGCCAGGGGAAGAGAGUUAACUUACUCUGUUUUCCUUAGGGGAAAGGAAGGAAAGGGAGUUUUUCUGGCUUGCUAACAGACUGAUAAGGAGUUCCAGGAGCAGGACACGCUGACAGAGGUUAGCCCUUGGUGGGAAUGGGGAGGGUGGGAGAGUGGCUGAGGGAAGCAGCAGGACAAGGACAUUCCAGUGCCUGGGAGGAUGGACCUCGCCAGGAGCCUUGUUCUCCACUGCACUUACCUAACUCCCAGUCUUAAUUGUAACUACCCUUCUUCCAAAUUAAGCCUUCCUUUCCCGAUUCUUUGUCCUUGACCACAAAAAGGGAUUUUUUCCACGCCUGUCCAGAGGUUUGCCCGAAACCCAAUUUCCUCUACCAUGAGGUCUUCCUAAAGUCUAGCUUCUGUUCUUACACAUCAGCCCAUGAUCAUAAGGUGCUCCAACUCUCUUUCAGAGAGGGUGCCCUUUAACUGAGAAGGAAGAAAAUGAUUACGAUUGAACACAGAACAAAGUCUAUGGCAGAGGUGGUUGUGGAAGACCCUGCCUUUAAGAGAGGAAGUAACAAACACUCUGGUGAAAAUUCUGGGAGAUAGGGUUAGGAAUUUUCUUGCAUUAACAGUAAAUGAUGUAGAUUAUACUCAGCCUUAAAAGAAAAUCUUGGCCAGGUGCUGUGGCUCAUGCCUAUAAUCCCAGAAUUUCGGGAGAUUGAGGCAGGAGGAUCACUUGAAGCCAGGAAUUUGAGACCAGCUUGGGCAACAUAGCAAGACCCCUACCUUUGUAUAUCUGAGUUAUUAAAAAAAAAAAAAGAAAGAAAAGAAAAGAAAAAAAAAGCAAGACCUCAUGUUUACAAAAAUAAAAAAAUUAGCCGGGUGUGGUGGCACACGCCUGUAGUCCCAGCUCCUCAGGAGGCUGAGGUGGGAGGAUCGCUUGAGCCCAAGAGGUCAAGACAGCAGUAAGGUAUGAUUGUGCCCCUGCACUCUGGCCUGGGCAACAGAGUGAGACCGUCUCUGAAAACAAAAAACAAAAAAACAACCAACAACCCUGUCUUGACACCAUUGGCCCUGGAGCUUUUCACAGGCGGGCAGAAUAAAGCCCAGAGUCCUCUAUCAAUUUCACCUCUAACCCAGGCCCACUGCAGCAUGGAAACGGGCUCUAAAAAAGCCUAGUAUCAAUAUGCCUAGUUCCUCUUUCCUAUGCCUUUCCCAGAGACUGCUGGCUCCAUGGCCAGCCAGAUGCUCCUGACUCACAGGACACCAGACAUUACCUCCUAGGCUGAGGUCACUCCAUCCUGUCCCCUGUCUUUGUACCCCUUCCUCACAAGCAAGGAUCAACUGUGCUUUCGCCCCUAGACUCUGCUGUUUGGGUAAAUACAUACAACGGAUGUCUUAUUCCUCUUACCCUUUCACUAUUACGUUUUUUUUUCUUUGACCUGUAGGAAGUUCUCCCUGAUUGCUAACUAGCAUUUCCUGCAAUUAAAAAGUUCGGGGAAGACAGGAGAUAUACUUUGACACUUGCUUUGUUUUUGUUUUUUUUAAAUUAGAAAGCCAGAAAAUUGUGGAGAAAGCUUUCUGGAGGAUUUGUGAUUGGGUAGAGGUAACUCUUAAAAAUAAAUUCUCCUGUAAGGGCAUGGUGGCUCAUGCCUGUAAUCCCAGUACUUUGGGAGGCUGAGGUGGGUGGAUCACUUGAGGCAGGAGUUUGCGACCAGCCUGGGCAACAUGGUGAAACACUGUCUCUACAAAAAAUACAAAAAUUAGCCAGACAUGGUGGCACCCACCUGUAGUCCCAGCUACUUGGAGGCUGAGGUGGGAGGAUUGCUUGAGCCUGGGAGGUGAAGGCUGCAGUGAGCUGGGAUGGAGCCACUGAAUUCCAGCCUGGGUGACAGCAAGAAAGCGCCCUCACCUCACUCCUAAGACUUUGCAUCACCAAUUCCUAGUUCUGUGUAAACAGCUGGGUUUCAAUACCCUUAAGAGGGAUUCCCUGGCUCUGGCACAGCUUAGCUCUUCCCUAGAUGCCUCAGUAGAUGUUCUUUUAGAGGAGUGCUGUCUUGGGCUGUGUGUGUUAUCUGUUUCCAUACCAUAAAAGGUUUUAUUUACCUAAAUAGAAUCUACUGAAUAAGGGUGUCUACCGCAGAAAGCAGAAGAGGUUAAACUCAGGGAGGACUUCCCAGUUAGCCCUGGGUGAGGGAACACAGAAUCCCUCCCCUGCUGGUGGAGGAAGGGCCACUCUAACGGGUACACAGGACAGUCUCCCAGGCUAUACUGACAGAUAGAGGCAGGGAUUGAAAUGACUUCUAAUCAUUGGGGUGGGGGGGGGGCAAUUCUGAUUUCUCAACAUAAGUUAUUGAUUCCAAGACUUAGGGAAACAAGGGAGAUGGGUUUGGAUUCAAUGAUCACAGCUCAGGUUUUGACAGUGUGGACUGUGGUUUUCAUGAUCAACUACAGAGCCGAAGCUAUCCAUACAGGGGUGACCUUUCUCUGCAGAGGAGAUGGGGGUAGAGACUCAGGAGACCACUGAACUUGCCUUUGGAACAAAACGGGGCUGGAGUCAGCCAGGUGAGCCAUGGUGGACCGACAAAGUGGGGGGCAUGAGAAAGCGGAGAGUUAGAGGCAAGAGGCACCCACCUC